UACGUAGGGUGCAAGCGUUAAUCGGAAUUAUUGGGCGUAAAGAGCUCGUAGGCGGCUUGUCACGUCGGAUGUGAAAGCCCGGGGCUUAACUCCGGGUCUGCAUUGGAUACUGGCAGGCUAGAGUGCGGUAGAGGAUGGCGGAAUUCCCGGUGUAGCAGUGAAAUGCGUAGAGAUCGGGAGGAACAUCUGUGGCGAAGGCGGCCAUCUGGACCAGCACUGACACUGAGGCACGAAAGCGUGGGGAGCAAACAGG
rnacentral:rRNA from 1 species